ensembl:snoRNA SCARNA8 small Cajal body-specific RNA 8
UGGGAGGCAGAUACCUGGGCAGGCCUGAGCGCCGGCCUGUCCGCCACGCGUCCUCCCGACAGCAUCGCUGCUCUCUGAUGACCGCGGCGAGUUGAGGGAAAUCGCCGCGGACAGAUACGGAGCAGACAGGC